GACCUGAACUCAGACGUGGUCACCCGCUGAACUUAAGCAUAU
rnacentral:rRNA from 1 species